rnacentral:snRNA from 1 species
GUGCUUGCUUCAGCAGCACAUAUACUAAAAUUGGAAUGAUACAGAGAAGAUUAGCAUGGCCCCCACACAAGGAUGAUAUGCAAAUUCAUGAAGCGUUCCAUAUUUUU